GACUGUGUCAAAGAGAAUCGGAGACGUCGAUGGAGGUGGAAACCCUGUGGCUUUCUCAUCUGCCUAACAGCUGCACUGCUGUAUUUCGCUGUAACUAAACAAAUCGACAAAAUCUACUAUGGGAAGACUCAGAAACUGGCUAAUAAUAACUACGACGAGAAUCCUACAACAUCCUCAAUAGAUACGCCUUUCAAUGCCAACGCUACUAAGACUUCAUCAGUAAUAUACAACGAUCUACCAUUAUGUAUUCGCAGAAGACCGCACAAUGAAUCAGUGAAG